rnacentral:lncRNA from 1 species
GUCCACGCUAAUGUGCCUGGGUGCACCUAACUCAGAAUGUUUUCACGGGCUGCCGUGGCAGUGUGGGGACGGAGAGGAGUGCACUGUCGUCUAGAGGUGGCAUUCCUGGGCACUGAUCGACAUUCACUGUUACGUAAGCCCCCACCCGCUGCCCUUUCUUGUCAACAGUUGUGUUCAGGCCAGACAACUUUGUGCUGUGGCAGCUCACAGAAAUGUCUCUUCUUUGGAAGAAGAUGGAGGAUUCUCUUUCCCGUCAGCGAGAAGCUGGGGCUGGAGGUUUUCUACAGGCCAGGCAACUCCGAGCCACAGGAGGCACUAGGGCGAGGGGGUGCCCUGAGCUUUCCUGCCAAGCCCAGGCUGUCUGCUUCCAACUCACCAGCGGUAGGAGCCGCGCACUGUGUUUGGAUUUCUCACAGAGGAGUCUGA